rnacentral:tRNA from 8 species
GCUUCCAUAGCUCAGUGGUAGAGCACUUCCAUGGUAAGGAAGGGGUCGCCGGUUCAAGUCCGGCUGGAAGCU